AACUCUGAUUCACUAGUGCUAGUUUUAGUCUUCUUCUUACGUUUUUUCUUCACUUUUUCUUCAUCUGAACUGUCAUCCGCUUUUCUCUUUUUCUUUGCAUCUUUUUCUCCAAUCUCUUCAUCAUCUGUACUUGAAUCUCGUUUAGAUUUUUUCAAACGUACUUUCCCUUCGUCUUCGCUCGUAGAAUCCUUUCUUGACUUCCUCGUUCUUGACUUUUCAUCUUCCGAAGAACUGUCUCUUCGUUUUCGUGUCUUUUUCGGCUCAUCGUCCGAACUAGAAUCUUUUUUGGAUUUUCGUAAUCUGGACCUAUCGUCUUCACUUUUAUUUCUUUUUAUCUUCUGUUCCUCAUCUCCCGAAGAGGAAUCUUUCCUAGAUCUUUUUGAUUUCUUCGUUUCCUCUUCUAACUCUUUUUUCGGUCGCUUACGAGAUUCGUUCUCGUUCAUUUCCCGUUUUCUGCUAUCUUUUCUGUCUUUUGUACGUUCAUCUAAUGAAUCUAUGGAAACCAGUAGGAUUAAAAAUUUUUUAAAUUGUAAAGGAAUUAAAAUUGCAAAAUUAAGAUAUGUAAAAUUUACCGCCUCGAUUCGAGUCUCUAAUUUUUUUGGUUUUCUCUGCGUGCUUUCUUUCCUCUUCAGAAUCUGAACUAGAACCACAUUUGUCUGACUUCUCUUCAUCCGUGGAAGCUUUCCUGGAUUUCUUGGACUUCUCUAACUUUUUUGAUCUUUUCUUACCUGCAAUGAGAAACAAUGUAAAAAAUGUCGAAGAAACAUAAUUCCUGCAUGUUCAAUUUCUUCCUACCUUCGCUUUCACUAUCAUUUGAAUCUGUAGAACCAUCGCGUUUUUCCCUCUUCGAUUUUUUUAUUACUUCUGCUGGCUUUUUCAAGAGAACUGGCUCUGACGAUUUUUGACCUGAUUUCUUGUCCUCGGAUGUAGUUUUGAUUGAUUUGAUCGAUUUUUCAUCCUUUUUUAGCGGGAACGUAUCCGCAGAUGAAAAGCUUGAUUCUUCUUUUGGUGAUCCCUCUUUGUUAUCUUCUCUAAAAAUGACAAUAAAUGGUUAAAGUAAAUGAUUUUCUUUACAUAUCUUAAACAGUACUUCAAACUUACUUCGAUGGUUGUUUGAUUUUAACUGCUGCUAUGAUGUCUUCAGUCUUUUUAAACGGAGACGGCGUUCGAGAUAAACUCUUCGAAAACUAGAAUAAUGAAAAAAAAGCAUUUACAAAAUUAGAAAUAUAUGUUAUAUAUUACAAAUAUAAUACAAAUGACUGUCUUAAACUUACCCUGUGUCUAGUUACAGGAAGCGUAGCAGAUUGAAGUUUUUUAGGAGAAACGCUGAGAUCUGGUUUCUUGAUGUUCACAGGUUCAGCUUUCUUGAUGUCCUUUUCUGGUCGUUUGAUGGAUUCCUCCUUGAUAGGCUUCUCCUUUUCUUUACGUUUCUCAUCUGCGUGUUCACGAUCCCUCUCACGUUCUCGUUUUUCUUGAGACGAUUUCCGCUCUAGUGACUUUCUGCACACAGACAGCAAAAUUAUUAUUAGAGAAAGUAAGAACGUUUGUUCACUGCUAAGCAGGAACACACAACGUAGCUGCUUUACGCUCCGACAAUCGUAAGGUCUGUAACAAAACGUGAAUGUAUGAGAUAAUUCG
rnacentral:misc_RNA from 1 species